rnacentral:rRNA from 1 species
GGUUAAGCGACUAAGCGUACACGGUGGAUGCCCUGGCAGUCAGAGGCGAUGAAGGGCGUGCUAAUCUGCGAUAAGCGCCGGUAAGGUGAUAUGAACCGUUAUAACCGGCGAUACCCGAAUGGGGAAACCCAGUGUGAUUCGUCACACUAUCAUUAACUGAAUCCAUAGGUUAAUGAGGCGAACCGGGGGAACUGAAACAUCUAAGUACCCCGAGGAAAAGAAAUCAACCGAGAUUCCCCCAGUAGCGGCGAGCGAACGGGGAGGAGCCCAGAGCCUGAAUCAGCAUGUGUGUUAGUGGAAGCGUCUGGAAAGGCGCGCGAUACAGGGUGACAGCCCCGUACACAAAAGCGCAUGUGCUGUGAGCUCGAUGAGUAGGGCGGGACACGUGGUAUCCUGUCUGAAUAUGGGGGGACCAUCCUCCAAGGCUAAAUACUCCUGACUGACCGAUAGUGAACCAGUACCGUGAGGGAAAGGCGAAAAGAACCCCGGCGAGGGGAGUGAAAAAGAACCUGAAACCGUGUACGUACAAGCAGUGGGAGCACCCUUCGGGGUGUGACUGCGUACCUUUUGUAUAAUGGGUCAGCGACUUAUAUUCUGUAGCAAGGUUAACCGAAUAGGGGAGCCGGAGGGAAACCGAGUCUUAAUUGGGCGUUAAGUUGCAGGGUAUAGACCCGAAACCCGGUGAUCUAGCCAUGGGCAGGUUGAAGGUUGGGUAACACUAACUGGAGGACCGAACCGACUAAUGUUGAAAAAUUAGCGGAUGACCUGUGGCUGGGGGUGAAAGGCCAAUCAAACCGGGAGAUAGCUGGUUCUCCCCGAAAGCUAUUUAGGUAGCGCCUCGUGAAUUCAUCUCCGGGGGUAGAGCACUGUUUCGGCUAGGGGGCCAUCCCGGCUUACCAACCCGAUGCAAACUGCGAAUACCGGAGAAUGUUAUCACGGGAGACACACGGCGGGUGCUAACGUCCGUCGUGAAGAGGGAAACAACCCAGACCGCCAGCUAAGGUCCCAAAGUCAUGGUUAAGUGGGAAACGAUGUGGGAAGGCCCAGACAGCCAGGAUGUUGGCUUAGAAGCAGCCAUCAUUUAAAGAAAGCGUAAUAGCUCACUGGUCGAGUCGGCCUGCGCGGAAGAUGUAACGGGGCUAAACCAUGCACCGAAGCUGCGGCAGCGAACGUAUCACCCAAGACAACUUUACGGAGUUGACGAUUGACGGAGCGAAGCGACGUCAAAGCGUUCAUUAAAGUCGAGUUGGCUUAGGGAUACGUUCGUUGGGUAGGGGAGCGUUCUGUAAGCCUGUGAAGGUGUGUCGUGAGGCAUGCUGGAGGUAUCAGAAGUGCGAAUGCUGACAUAAGUAACGAUAAAGCGGGUGAAAAGCCCGCUCGCCGGAAGACCAAGGGUUCCUGUCCAACGUUAAUCGGGGCAGGGUGAGUCGACCCCUAAGGCGAGGCCGAAAGGCGUAGUCGAUGGGAAACGGGUUAAUAUUCCCGUACUUGGUGUUACUGCGAAGGGGGGACGGAGAAGGCUAUGUUGGCCGGGCGACGGUUGUCCCGGUUUAAGCGUGUAGGUGUGUGUUCCAGGUAAAUCCGGUUCACUUUAACACUGAGGCGUGACGACGAGGCACUACGGUGCUGAAGCAACAAAUGCCCUGCUUCCAGGAAAAGCCUCUAAGCAUCAGGUAACACGAAAUCGUACCCCAAACCGACACAGGUGGUCAGGUAGAGAAUACCAAGGCGCUUGAGAGAACUCGGGUGAAGGAACUAGGCAAAAUGGUGCCGUAACUUCGGGAGAAGGCACGCUGACACGUAGGUGAAGUGAUUUACUCACGGAGCUGAAGUCAGUCGAAGAUACCAGCUGGCUGCAACUGUUUAUUAAAAACACAGCACUGUGCAAACACGAAAGUGGACGUAUACGGUGUGACGCCUGCCCGGUGCCGGAAGGUUAAUUGAUGGGGUCAGCGUAAGCGAAGCUCCUGAUCGAAGCCCCGGUAAACGGCGGCCGUAACUAUAACGGUCCUAAGGUAGCGAAAUUCCUUGUCGGGUAAGUUCCGACCUGCACGAAUGGCGUAAUGAUGGCCAGGCUGUCUCCACCCGAGACUCAGUGAAAUUGAACUCGCUGUGAAGAUGCAGUGUACCCGCGGCAAGACGGAAAGACCCCGUGAACCUUUACUAUAGCUUGACACUGAACAUUGAGCCUUGAUGUGUAGGAUAGGUGGGAGGCUUUGAAGUGUGGACGCCAGUCUGCAUGGAGCCGACCUUGAAAUACCACCCUUUAAUGUUUGAUGUUCUAACGUGGACCCGUAAUCCGGGUUGCGGACAGUGUCUGGUGGGUAGUUUGACUGGGGCGGUCUCCUCCUAAAGAGUAACGGAGGAGCACGAAGGUUGGCUAAUCCUGGUCGGACAUCAGGAGGUUAGUGCAAUGGCAUAAGCCAGCUUGACUGCGAGCGUGACGGCGCGAGCAGGUGCGAAAGCAGGUCAUAGUGAUCCGGUGGUUCUGAAUGGAAGGGCCAUCGCUCAACGGAUAAAAGGUACUCCGGGGAUAACAGGCUGAUACCGCCCAAGAGUUCAUAUCGACGGCGGUGUUUGGCACCUCGAUGUCGGCUCAUCACAUCCUGGGGCUGAAGUAGGUCCCAAGGGUAUGGCUGUUCGCCAUUUAAAGUGGUACGCGAGCUGGGUUUAGAACGUCGUGAGACAGUUCGGUCCCUAUCUGCCGUGGGCGCUGGAGAACUGAGGGGGGCUGCUCCUAGUACGAGAGGACCGGAGUGGACGCAUCACUGGUGUUCGGGUUGUCAUGCCAAUGGCACUGCCCGGUAGCUAAAUGCGGAAGAGAUAAGUGCUGAAAGCAUCUAAGCACGAAACUUGCCCCGAGAUGAGUUCUCCCUGAGACUUAGAGUCUCCUGAAGGAACGUUGAAGACGACGACGUUGAUAGGCCGGGUGUGUAAGCGCAGCGAUGCGUUGAGCUAACCGGUACUAAUGAACCGUGAGGCUUAACCUU